GACAGAGGGUGCAAACGUUGUUCGGAUUUACUGGGCGUAAAGCGCGUGUAGGCGGCCAGAUAAGUUGGGUGUGAAAGCCCUCGGCUUAACCGAGGAAGUGCGCCCAAAACUGCUUGGCUUGAGUACCGGAGAGGAUGGUGGAAUUCCCGGUGUAGAGGUGAAAUUCGUAGAUAUCGGGAGGAACACCAGUGGCGAAGGCGACCAUCUGGACGGAUACUGACGCUGAGACGCGAAAGCGUGGGGAGCAAACAGG
rnacentral:rRNA from 1 species